UACGUAGGGGGCUAGCGUUGUCCGGAAUCAUUGGGCGUAAAGAGCGUGUAGGCGGCUCGAUAAGUCCGCUGUGAAAGUCCAGGGCUCAACCCUGGGAUGCCGGUGGAUACUGUCGGGCUCGAGUCCGGAAGAGGAGAGUGGAAUUCCUGGUGUAGCGGUGAAAUGCGCAGAUAUCAGGAGGAACACCAAUGGCGAAGGGAGCUCGCUGGGACGUGACUGACGCUGAGACGCGAAAGCAUGGGGAGCGAACAGG
rnacentral:rRNA from 1 species